rnacentral:rRNA from 1 species
AGCAGCCGCGGUAAUUCCAGCUCCAAUAGCGUAUAUUAAAGUUGUUGCAGUUAAAAAGCUCGUAGUUGAAUUUCGGGAUCAAUAUGCUGGUCGUGCCUUUGGUACGUACUGGCAUUAUUGGUUUCUCCUUUCUGAUGAAUCACGAUGUCAUUAAUUUGGUGUCAUGGGGAAUCAGGACUGUUACUUUGAAAAAUUAGAGUGUUUAAAGCAGGCUUACGCUUGAAUACAUUAGCAUGGAAUAAUGAAAUAGGACGUUUAAUUCUAUUUUGUUGGUUUCUAGGAUUGACGUAAUGAUUAAUAGGGAUAGUUGGGGGCAUUAGUAUUCAAUUGUCAGAGGUGAAAUUCUUGGAUUUAUUGAAGACUAACUACUGCGAAAGCAUUUGCCAAGGAUGUUUUCAUUAAUCAAGAACGAAAGUUAGGGGAUCGAAGACGAUCAGGUACCGUCGUAGUCUUAACCAUAAACUAUGCCG